GGAAUAUUGGUCAAUGGACGCAAGUCUGAACCAGCCAUGCCGCGUGAAGGAUUAAGGCCCUCUGGGUUGUAAACUUCUUUUAUAGGGGAAGAAAUGUGACGGUUCUCCGUCACUUGACGGUACCCUGGGAAUAAGCACCGGCUAACUCCGUGCCAGCAGCCGCGGUAAUACGGAGGGUGCAAGCGUUAUCCGGAUUCACUGGGUUUAAAGGGUGCGUAGGUGGGUAUGUACGUCAGUGGUGAAAUCCCCGAGCUUAACUUGGGAACUGCCAUUGAUACUAUAUAUCUUGAAUACCGUAGAGGUAAGAGGAAUAUGUCAUGUGGCGGUGAAAUGCUUAGAUAUGACAUGGAACACCAAUUGCGAAGGCAGCGUACUAUGCGGUGAUUGACACUGUGGCACGAAAGCGUGGGUAGCAA
rnacentral:rRNA from 1 species